rnacentral:rRNA from 1 species
UAGCGUAUAUUAAAGUUGUUGCGGUUAAAAAGCUCGUAGUUGGAUUUCUGUUGAGCGCAGCCCGUCUACCUUUUGGGUAUGUAUGUGGUUUGAGCUCGGCAUCUUCGUGGAAAACGUUUCUGCGCUUGAUUGCGUGGGGCGGGGUUCACGACUUUUACUUUGAGGAAAUUAGAGUGUUCACGGCAGGCAUACGCCUUGAAUAUAUUAGCAUGGAAUAAUAAUAUAGGAUCUUGGUUCUAUUUUGUUGGUUUCUAGGGCUAAGAUAAUGAUUAAUAGGGACAAUUGGGGGCAUUCGUAUUAACAAGUC